GCGUGGCAACGUCGCGUGGCUUUUAUUUUUCGGACACGGUUUCGGUGAGUGUAUAUAAACAUUCGGGAUGACUCCAUGGAUUCUUGCAACAAAUUCUCGAAGAGGCUGUGAAUUAGAGGGAGUCGUGUUAGUAAGGACACCUAUUGGCGUCAUCUCAAGAGGGAGAUAUGGACAAGCCUGAAAACAUCCAUGUUAAAGAAGAGGGACUGGAGAAAGAAAAACUGCAUAUUAAAGUUGAAGGUGAAACUGAAAAGCCAGAUGGAGCAGAAGAAAAGACUAAGGUGGAACUUAAAGUGGAGGCCAAGUCUGUAGCUGAAUGCAAGGAAGAAAAACAUGAGAAAGAUGAAAAGAAAUCAAAGGGUGAAAAGGAUAAAACUUCCAACAAAAAGGAGCAUAAAAAGGGAAAAAGUGAUGAUGAAGAGAAGGAUGAGGGAAAAGAUAAGAAGGAUAAAAAGUUGAAGAAGGAGAAGAAGAAGAAAGGGAAGUCAGACGAAGAGAAAACUGAAGAAGAGAAUGCGAAGGAUGAGGGAAAAGAUAAAAAAGAUAAAAAGAACAAGCAGAAGAAGAAGAAGAAAGAACAGUCGGAUGAAGAGAAAACUGAAGAAGAGAAUGCAAAGGAUGAUGGGGAAGAUAAGAAGGAUAAAAAGAAGAAGGAGAAGAAGAAGAAGAAAGAGAAGUCGGAUGAAGAGAAAACUGAAGAAGAGGAUGCAAAGGAUGAUGGAGAAGAUAAGAAGGAUAAGAAGAAGAAAGAGAAGUCAGACGAAGAGAGAACUGAAAAGGAAAAGGAUAAGAAAAAAAAUAACAAGAAGGACAAGAAAGAUGAAGAGGUGGAUGAUUCUGAAGGUAAGAAGGGGACUGAUGAGGAGAAGGAUGGUGAUAAGAGGAAGGCCAAGAAAAAGAAGGAUAAAGAGAAGGAUGAGGAAGCUGGUGACAAAGCUGAAAAUAAAUCUGAAGGAGAAGCGACUGGAGAUGAAAAGGAUGAGAAGAAGAAGAAGAAGAAAGACAAGAAGCCGAAGAAUGAGGACGACAAAGAAGAGAAGAAACACAAGCACAAGAAAUGUAAAGGAAAAGGAAAGGAGUCUGACAAGGAAACAGAUGAGGAGAAGAAGAAAGAAAACAAGAGCAAGGAUCGAAAGCUUGAAGCCGAGGUUGUCUCUAGGGAGGUCCAUGCGGAAGAAAAUCAAGAAACAUCUGAUGUGGAAGAUGGGAGUAAACAGGGAAAGAAGGCAGAAGUGUGUGGGGAGAGCAAAGACAAAGACAAAGACAAGAAAAAAAUGAAGGAUGAGAAGAAACAGAAACUGAAAGAGAAGUAUGAUGCUAAGGAUCUUGCCAAGCUUAAGAAUAAGUUAGAGAAGGUCAAUGGAAAAAUCGAAAAACUUUUUGAGAAAAAGAACGAGCUUUUGAGGCUGAUCCAAGAAGCUGGGGAUAAGAACCAUGGUCAUAGUGAUGAAGCCAAAGAGGUAGAAGAUGAUAAAGCUAAAGCCCAAGACAAGGCAGCUGCAGCUGAGAUAGCUUAAACACUUGAUGCUUCUGAGACAAUCUGGCCUCAGGUAGGCUUAAUCGAAAGCCCAAAUCCGAAAGGGAACAGAGGAUCAUAAUGCUGAUCCCCAACGUUCAUGGGCAGCUGAUCGACGGUCUUGAACCAAGUGUGUGGCAAUUUGCCACUGAACCCAUAGUUCCCAUACAGGACAUCAGCAACUCCAUGUCCUUCGGUGCCCGGCAGCCAAGCAGCAACAAGUGCAUCAAUCUGUGGAAGAUACGGCUGAAUCACGACUGGCCGGCCGGUGAUCAGCACCACCACACAUCUCACAUGUCCACAUACAUUUGUUAUGGUGUUGUAAGAAUUCUCUGGCAGUGUCAAGUUCAAGCUGUCCCCAUUCCCUUCUGCAUACGGUGAUUCGCCCACGACAACAAUGGCGUAAGAUGGUUUGGUGGAGUUCAAGUAUUCAGGACUUGGUUCUUUGUGGUAAACAACUUUGGUAUCAGGGGUAACUGUCAUCUUUAUGCCUUGAAGAAUUGUGGUACCUGAUUAUUGCAAAAAACGAUCAGGCAACAUUCUUGUCUUCUUGAUGCACUCCUAUAGUCCAGCCACCACACUGGUUGCCAAUGUCGUUGGCGUGUGAUCCUGCAACGAGUACCUUGAAUGCUCUCUUAGGUAGAGGGAUCAAUGGCUUGUCUGCAGAUUGGCCGUUUUUCAGAAGCACCAGGGAUUUCCUCACAGCUUCCCGGGCUAGUUGUCUGUGUUCCUGAGGAAUUCGAACAUGAUCAGUUAACCAUGCUGUAAUCAGCAAAGGGAUUCUCAAACAGCCCCAUUAUGAACUUAACUCGCAGAAUUCUCUUCACUGCAUCGUCAAUCCGGCUCAUGGGAAUGAAGUUUCUCCUCACCAAGGAUGUUAGUCCAUCAAUGAAUUCUACGUAGUUGUCUGGAAUCAUGACCUGGAAUCAAGCAUCGAUGGAUGAGUUCAAACUAAUGAAUCUAGCAGAGUCCUUCAAGGCUAAAACUAACCAUGUCGAUGCCAGCUCCAACUCCGGCUAGAAUUGAGUACUGUUAGCUGCUGUAUCUAAACCAAAAGAUCAAAGAUUUCAACUAAAGGCAAUGGAUCUAUCUGUACUCUGAAGCGCAGCUUCUUCUUAAGAAAAUCGGUGAUGAGUUCGCGAUGGGCAUGCAUCUUCACUCCAUUGUAGCUCGAAUACGAGACCAUGACAGUGGCGACGCCCUUGAUGAUGGACACGUCGUAGGGAGGCAUAUGGAUGCUAAGCAAUCCGUGGAAGCUUGUGACAGUGUUGUUCGCAUUGAUGCCCCUAGUCGUGCCUCCAUCGCCGACAUAGUGUUUCGCGCAUGCUGCAACCUUGUCUCUGCACCAAACUUAUCUAAUCUAACUAAUGAAGCAGACAGAGAUCAGAA